GAUGAACGCUGGCGGCGUGCCUAAUACAUGCAAGUCGAGCGAACGGACGAGAAGCUUGCUUCUCUGAUGUUAGCGGCGGACGGGUGAGUAACACGUGGAUAACCUACCUAUAAGACUGGGAUAACUUCGGGAAACCGGAGCUAAUACCGGAUAAUAUUUUGAACCGCAUGGUUCAAAAGUGAAAGACGGUCUUGCUGUCACUUAUAGAUGGAUCCGCGCUGCAUUAGCUAGUUGGUAAGGUAACGGCUUACCAAGGCAACGAUGCAUAGCCGACCUGAGAGGGUGGUCGGCCACACUGGAACUGAGACACCGUCCAGACUCCUACGGGAGGCAGCAGUAGCGAAUCUUCCGCAAUGGGCGAAAGCCUGACGGAGCAACGCCGCGUGAGUGAUGAAGGUCUUCGGAUCGUAAAAAUCUGUUAUUAGGGAAGAACAGAUGUGUAAGUAACUGUGCACAUCUUGACGGUACCUAAUCAGAAAGCCACGGCUAACUACGUG
rnacentral:rRNA from 1 species